rnacentral:misc_RNA from 1 species
UCUUCCUCCGUGUGACAAUCAGAAAUGCAUUUAUUAAAGAGGCUCUCAAAUCUGGGUUGCACGUAAUACGUGGGAAGGUAUUUUGAUGCAUUUCGGCGGACAUACCAUAAACCAAGCUGAUGCUUUGCUUCUGGCAUUACCAUCUUUACUGCAUCACCCACUGGUUGACCCUCAUCUGUAAAAAUUGUUUUAGGUUGACACCUUCUCAUUGCUUCCAUAAACGUUUCAAACAACCAGCAAAAUGAGUCGAUGCUCU